UCCUCUGAUGAUGAUUGAAACGUAAACUUUCGUUCUUCCGAGGAUGAUAUCCGUCUAUGCGGAAAUGAUUAUUGGAGACUUGAACUGAAGAGGC
rnacentral:snoRNA from 1 species